rnacentral:rRNA from 1 species
UACGUAGGUGGCAAGCGUUGUCCGGAAUUACUGGGUGUAAAGGGCGUGUAGGCGGGUAUAUAAGUCAGAUGUGAAAUUCCGGGGCUCAACUCCGGGGCUGCAUCUGAAACUGAAUAUCUUGAGUGCUGGAGAGGAAAGCGGAAUUCCUAGUGUAGCGGUGAAAUGCGUAGAUAUUAGGAGGAACACCAGUGGCGAAGGCGGCUUUCUGGACAGUAACUGACGCUGAGGCGCGAAAGCGUGGGGAUCAAACAGG